GGACUAAGAUAAUUUAUAAAAUCUAAAAUUCUUAUUCAGAGUGCUUAAACUCGAUGAAUUGGUCGGCCCCCGUAAUCCUGGCUCCGCCCCUGAUCCGCCCAUUCCGCCCGCCGCGUUCUCUGCUCCUGCGGCGGCUCACCCUCGGCGGCUCGGCGUCUCUAAACAAGGGUGCAGUUUGCGCGGCGGCCGUCGGCCUACCAGUAGUCCUGCCGGUGGUGCACGUGAUGGCCAAUGGGCACGCUUUCGUUGGUAGCCAGGAAGCGAUGAUGCUUACCUGAUGUCCUCUGCUCAACCACAAUUGGUACAUGGUUUAGAUGGAGAGGACAUCAAAAGCUUUGUGUUUACUUCAAAAAAGAAGUUGACUGUGAGGUAGACGAACCAAACACGUUCGAGGACAACCCACAUGACACUUUCGAGUAAGGCAAGUGGAUUCUACCUCUGCAUUUCUGUUUAUACCUAAAUAAUGCAUAUAAUAAUGUUUACUUUUCGGAUAUUGCAUAAUUUGAUGGGAUUUGCCUAAAUAAGGAUUUCCUAGAAUUAUGAACCCUAUUCCUUGAAUUACCCUGGGAUAAAUGUUGUGCUUAACAAUUUUUGCUAUUGCUCAACUUGAUGAAUAUGUUGUCACUCUUUUAAUGAUACUAUGUUCCAGAAAUGAAGAUUUAUUUAUGAUGUUAACCCGAUGGUUAAACAAGAACAUUUUGUAUUAAAUGGAACAUGGAGUGACCACCCAGGAUAACAGUGCAACCACGAGUGCUAUAAUGGCUCUGGCUUUGGUAAUUAGCUCUAUAGACUUAGUGCUUAGCAACCCUACCUGAAAGAUGGGCAAGAGGUGCGGCAUUGGUUUGGUGACAGCUCAUGUUAACAUGGGGUGGUAGUCUUGGCUAAGAUACCUCACCCAGAGGGCCAUCAGUACUGACGUGGAAACCUUAGCGGGUGGCUUUGUACUAAGGAUGUUUUGUGAAAGCCUCAUAGUGGAUCCCUAGCCAUUCACCUCGGCAGUGUUUAUGG